rnacentral:rRNA from 1 species
UUAAGCGACUAAGCGUACACGGUGGAUGCCCUGGCAGUCAGAGGCGAUGAAGGACGUGCUAAUCUGCGAAAAGCGUCGGUAAGGUGAUAUGAACCGUUACAGCCGGCGAUGUCCGAAUGGGGAAACCCAGUGCAAUUCGUUGCACUAUCGUUAACUGAAUACAUAGGUUAACGAGGCGAACCGGGGGAACUGAAACAUCUAAGUACCCCGAGGAAAAGAAAUCAACCGAGAUUCCCCCAGUAGCGGCGAGCGAACGGGGAGCAGCCCAGAGUCUGAAUCAGCUUGUGUGUUAGUGGAACGGUCUGGAAAGUCCGACGGUACAGGGUGAUAGUCCCGUACACCAAAAUGCACAGGCUGUGAACUCGAAGAGUAGGGCGGGACACGUGGUAUCCUGUCUGAAUAUGGGGGGACCAUCCUCCAAGGCUAAAUACUCCUGACUGACCGAUAGUGAACCAGUACCGUGAGGGAAAGGCGAAAAGAACCCCGGCGAGGGGAGUGAAAAAGAACCUGAAACCGUGUACGUACAAGCAGUGGGAGCACCUUCGGGUGUGACUGCGUACCUUUUGUAUAAUGGGUCAGCGACUUAUAUUCUGUAGCAAGGUUAACCGUAUAGGGGAGCCGCAGGGAAACCGAGUCUUAACUGGGCGUUAAGUUGCAGGGUAUAGACCCGAAACCCGGUGAUCUAGCCAUGGGCAGGUUGAAGGUUGGGUAACACUAACUGGAGGACCGAACCGACUAAUGUUGAAAAAUUAGCGGAUGACUUGUGGCUGGGGGUGAAAGGCCAAUCAAACCGGGAGAUAGCUGGUUCUCCCCGAAAGCUAUUUAGGUAGCGCCUCGUGAAUUCAUCUUCGGGGGUAGAGCACUGUUUCGGCUAGGGGGUCAUCCCGACUUACCAACCCGAUGCAAACUACGAAUACCGAAGAAUGUUAUCACGGGAGACACACGGCGGGUGCUAACGUCCGUCGUGAAGAGGGAAACAACCCAGACCGCCAGCUAAGGUCCCAAAGUCAUGGUUAAGUGGGAAACGAUGUGGGAAGGCACAGACAGCCAGGAUGUUGGCUUAGAAGCAGCCAUCAUUUAAAGAAAGCGUAAUAGCUCACUGGUCGAGUCGGCCUGCGCGGAAGAUGUAACGGGGCUAAACCAUGCACCGAAGCUGCGGCAGCGACACUAUGUGUUGUUGGGUAGGGGAGCGUUCUGUAAGCCUGCGAAGGUGACCUGUGAGGGUUGCUGGAGGUAUCAGAAGUGCGAAUGCUGACAUAAGUAACGAUAAAGCGGGUGAAAAGCCCGCUCGCCGGAAGACCAAGGGUUCCUGUCCAACGUUAAUCGGGGCAGGGUGAGUCGACCCCUAAGGCGAGGCCGAAAGGCGUAGUCGAUGGGAAACAGGUUAAUAUUCCUGUACUUGGUGUUACUGCGAAGGGGGGACGGAGAAGGCUAUGUUAGCCGGGCGACGGUUGUCCCGGUUUAAGCAUGUAGGCUGGUUGUCCAGGCAAAUCCGGAUAAUCAAGGCUGAGGUGUGAUGACGAGGCACUACGGUGCUGAAGUAACAAAUGCCCUGCUUCCAGGAAAAGCCUCUAAGCAUCAGGUAACAUUAAAUCGUACCCCAAACCGACACAGGUGGUCAGGUAGAGAAUACCAAGGCGCUUGAGAGAACUCGGGUGAAGGAACUAGGCAAAAUGGUGCCGUAACUUCGGGAGAAGGCACGCUGGUGUGUAGGUGAAGUCCCUGCGGAUGGAGCUGAGACCAGUCGAAGAUACCAGCUGGCUGCAACUGUUUAUUAAAAACACAGCACUGUGCAAACACGAAAGUGGACGUAUACGGUGUGACGCCUGCCCGGUGCCGGAAGGUUAAUUGAUGGGGUUAUCCGUAAGGAGAAGCUCUUGAUCGAAGCCCCGGUAAACGGCGGCCGUAACUAUAACGGUCCUAAGGUAGCGAAAUUCCUUGUCGGGUAAGUUCCGACCUGCACGAAUGGCGUAAUGAUGGCCAGGCUGUCUCCACCCGAGACUCAGUGAAAUUGAACUCGCUGUGAAGAUGCAGUGUACCCGCGGCAAGACGGAAAGACCCCGUGAACCUUUACUAUAGCUUGACACUGAACAUUGAGCCUUGAUGUGUAGGAUAGGUGGGAGGCUUUGAAGCGUGGACGCCAGUCUGCGUGGAGCCAACCUUGAAAUACCACCCUUUAAUGUUUGAUGUUCUAACGUUGGCCCCUUACCGGGGUUGCGGACAGUGUCUGGUGGGUAGUUUGACUGGGGCGGUCUCCUCCCAAAGCGUAACGGAGGAGCACGAAGGUUAGCUAAUCCUGGUCGGACAUCAGGAGGUUAGUGCAAUGGCAUAAGCUAGCUUGACUGCGAGCGUGACGGCGCGAGCAGGUGCGAAAGCAGGUCAUAGUGAUCCGGUGGUUCUGAAUGGAAGGGCCAUCGCUCAACGGAUAAAAGGUACUCCGGGGAUAACAGGCUGAUACCGCCCAAGAGUUCAUAUCGACGGCGGUGUUUGGCACCUCGAUGUCGGCUCAUCACAUCCUGGGGCUGAAGUAGGUCCCAAGGGUAUGGCUGUUCGCCAUUUAAAGUGGUACGCGAGCUGGGUUUAGAACGUCGUGAGACAGUUCGGUCCCUAUCUGCCGUGGGCGCUGGAGAAUUGAGGGGGGCUGCUCCUAGUACGAGAGGACCGGAGUGGACGCAUCACUGGUGUUCGGGUUGUCAUGCCAAUGGCACUGCCCGGUAGCUAAAUGCGGAAGAGAUAAGUGCUGAAAGCAUCUAAGCACGAAACUUGCCCCGAGAUGAGUUCUCCCUGAGACUUUAAGUCUCCUGAAGGAACGUUAAAGACGAUGACGUUGAUAGGCCGGGUGUGUAAGCGCAGCGAUGCGUUGAGCUAACCGGUACUAAUGAACCGUGAGGCUUAACCU